rnacentral:rRNA from 1 species
UACGUAGGGGCCUAGCGUUGUCCGGAUUUAUUGGGCGUAAAGGGCGCGUAGGCGGCCCUCCUUGUCGCGUGUGAAAGCCCCGGGCUCAACCUGGGAACGGCGCGCGAGACGGGGGGGCUGGAGUUCGGGAGAGGAGCGUGGAAUUCCCAGUGUAGAGGUGAAAUUCGUAGAUAUUGGGAAGAACACCGGUGGCGAAGGCGGCGCUCUGGACCGAGACUGACGCUGAGGCGCGAAAGCGUGGGGAGCAAACAGG